rnacentral:tRNA from 2 species
GGAGAGGUGGCCGAGCGGUUUAAGGCACCAGUCUUGAAAACUGGCGAGGUGUCAAAGCCUCCGUGGGUUCGAAUCCCACCCUCUCCG